rnacentral:rRNA from 1 species
UACGAAGGGGGGCUAGCGUUGCUCGGAAUCACUGGGGCGUAAAGGGGUGCGUAGGCGGGUCUUUUAAGUCAGGGGUGAAAUCCUGGAGCUCAACUCCAGAACUGCCUUUGAUACUGAAGGUCUUGAGUUCGGGAGAGGUGAGUGGAACUGCGAGUGUAGAGGUGAAAUUCGUAGAUAUUCGCAAGAACACCAGUGGCGAAGGCGGCUCACUGGCCCGGUACUGACGCUGAGGUGCGAAAGCGUGGGGAG